AGACCCUAACGUUCCUCUCUCCUCUCUCUUCAACCUAACCAUGGCUGCCACCCCCACUCCCCGUCACUUCCAUCACUUCACCACCACCACAGCAACAUCCCACGAAAUCCGCUGCCUUCUCUUUGAUCACACUCCAUCUCUGAAAGCUUGCAGGCCCAUGUGCGAUUUCAGCAGAUUUUAUGGUGAAUUUUUCAUCACCUCAGCUGUUUGAAAACGUUAAUUUUUCCCCUUUUUUUUUUUAAAUUCGAAUUUGAAGGCAAAAGGCUUUCUUGAAGAAGCUGUUGAAACACCCAACCUUCGGCUAUAAAUACGGGCCAUUGAGGGCUGUUUUAGAGAUCGGGGGGAAAAAAAAGGAGAGAUCAAUCGAAAAAAGAAGAACCACGAAAUCCCUUUUAUUUUCAUAAACUUUCCCCCUCAUAAAUUCCUUUUUGCUAAAAAACUCGAAUUCUCAGAAAAAUCUUGUUUAAAGUUUGAUUAGCGCUCUAAGCUCUGAUUGUCGAAAUCCCUUCUUUAGUUCUCGGCUGAGCAAGGGUUGCUUGAAGCGGAUUCGGAGACUCGACGGCGACGUUAGCCCCAGUUCGCUGUCACGGAGAAGGAAUAGUUGUUUGAACAUGGCUUUAGCAGGUCUUGCUGUUAUGAGUCGGUUCCUCUUCAUAUAUUGUUUGUAGGCAAGUAUUCUCUCCUGUGUUAAUAGGUGCUGCUUUAGGCUUCAAAGGUUUAAAAUGUUCUGUGAAGUGUGUCUAGAUAUCGUGGCAUCCUAAUAUGCAUAUGAGUUAUUUUAAACUCACAUCGUAAAAUUCUGUUCCGCUUGGCUGUCUGAUUUGCUACUACAUUUGCCAUCUCGUCGCUGCAUUUUUUUGGCAACUUUCUACUGCAUUUUGGGAGCUGAUUGCUGCAUUUUUGUGGCUGAAAAUGCCACAUUGUUGAGACACAUUUAGAACCAAACAGUUACUGUAAUUUAUACCUAGUGUUGCUGCACUUUUGGGGACUAAUUUAAGCCAAACAGUGGCUGCAUUUUCGCUGGAAGUUGCUGCCAUAAACAUGGGUGAAAAUGCCACAUUUUGAAACAUUUUGGGGGGCAAAAAUGCUGCUGCAAUUUGAGGCCAACGCUGCUGCGUUUUUGGCCAUUUUUCUACUGUGUUUUAGACCAUUUUCACCUCAUUUUGGGACUGAUUUACUGCCUGCAUUUUGGCCAACUGAUUGCUGUGUUUUUGAGGGUGAAAAUGUGGCAUUUUGCUGCUGCAAUUUGAGGCCAACGCUGCUGCGUUUUUGGCCAUUUUCUACUGCGUUUUAGGCCAUUUUCACCUCAUUUUGGAACUGGUACUGCUGGGCUGAAAAUCUGUACUUUGGAGAGGAAAGAUAAUUACCCUUUGUAGUUUAGUCGAGCAGAAUUGCUAGCUAUUGGUAGGAAUGAUAUUGUGCUGCAAUUAUUAGUGCUUUGCCUUGUUAAUACAAAGAAUGUGAACUGGAAACGUGACUGAAUACCAUGAAUAUCCCUCCUGAAUUCAGUAGAUAUUUGUAUGUCAUGUUUAGACUGGUGUGUAUCAUGAAUCGGUAGCCCACUUUUUUUUCAAAACUAUGCACGUGCCACAUGUACAAAAUGCCUUAUUUGAAUUCUUCAAUGUGAGUCUGAAUCAUAUGCAUUUUCAUGUGAGUAAACAGUUUGGGUGUUGUAUAAACUUUGUGCGCUGUUGCAAGUAUAUUUCAGUUGGUUAUGUAUAUUUACGUAUAUUACUGGUAUACCUUUACUUAAAACAGCUAUGAAUGUGUAUACAUGAGGUAUACUUCAAUAUACACAGUAUAUACACAACUUAUUGAUUUGUUUUGAGUUUAUAUUUUAUAUAUUUAACCCUAUUCCUUGAUCAUAUGCUAAUCCUUUCCUUUUUUUUUUUGGCAUGACCAUCGCGGAGUCUUCCGCAUUUGGUGUUGGGCUAAAAGUUUAGCCCAACACGAUUCCUCUCGUGUUCAGCCCUUGUCUGCAGUCAAAAUAAGAAGCUUAAAAAUUCUGGGCCAAAGCCCAAUAGCAGCUAUGGAUCGCAGAAGUCCAAACUGGGUCUAAGCCCAAUAACGUGAACAGUUCCAGCAUUUGGGCCUAAAAAUGGGCCAGAUCCAUUUAUUUUUUUUUCUCUCUCUCUCUUUCUCUCUCUUCCUUAUUUUAUUGUUGUGUAUUUUUAUUUGCUUUGUAUGACUAACAUCCUAUCUCGUUUUAUUUUUUCUUAACUAAGAUGAAUUUUAGUAAAUUAGUGGGUUUAGCUUUAGUAUAAUGGGUAGUCAAUUUAAGAGAGAUAUUGACAUUAGUUCCAUAAGUUUCAUUUCCUUUCUUAUGUUAAAAUUAUGUAUAGUAUUACUUUAUAAUUGAUUUGCAAAA